GAUGAACGCAGGCGGCGUGCCUAAUACAUGCAAGUCGAGCGAACAGACGAGGAGCUUGCUCCUCUGACGUUAGCGGCGGACGGGUGAGUAACACGUGGAUAACCUACCUAUAAGACUGGGAUAACUUCGGGAAACCGGAGCUAAUACCGGAUAAUAUAUUGAACCGCAUGGUUCAAUAGUGAAAGACGGUUUUGCUGUCACUUAUAGAUGGAUCCGCGCCGCAUUAGCUAGUUGGUAAGGUAACGGCUUACCAAGGCGACGAUGCGUAGCCGACCUGAGAGGGUGAUCGGCCACACUGGAACUGAGACACGGUCCAGACUCCUACGGGAGGCAGCAGUAGGGAAUCUUCCGCAAUGGGCGAAAGCCUGACGGAGCAACGCCGCGUGAGUGAUGAAGGUCUUCGGAUCGUAAAACUCUGUUAUUAGGGAAGAACAAAUGUGUAAGUAACUAUGCACGUCUUGACGGUACCUAAUCAGAAAGCCACGGCUAACUACGUG
rnacentral:rRNA from 1 species